AGUGAACGCUGGCGGUAGGCCUAACACAUGCAAGUCGAACGGCAGCACAGUAAGAGCUUGCUCUUACGGGUGGCGAGUGGCGGGCGGGUGAGGAAUACAUCGGAAUCUACUUUUUCGUGGGGGAUAACGUAGGGAAACUUACGCUAAUACCGCAUACGACCUACGGGUGAAAGCAGGGGAUCUUCGGACCUUGCGCGAUUGAAUGAGCCGAUGUCGGAUUAGCUAGUUGGCGGGGUAAAGGCCCACCAAGGCGACGAUGCGUAGCUGGUCUGAGAGGAUGAUCAGCCACACUGGAACUGAGACACGGUCCAGACUCCUACGGGAGGCAGCAGUGGGGAAUAUUGGACAAUGGGCGCAAGCCUGAUCCAGCCAUACCGCGUGGGUGAAGAAGGCCUUCGGGUUGUAAAGCCCUUUUGUUGGGAAAGAAAAGCAGCAGGUUAAUACCCCGCUGUUCUGACGGUACCCAAAGAAUAAGCACCGGCUAACUUCGUG
rnacentral:rRNA from 1 species